UACAGAGGGUGCAAGCGUUAAUCGGAAUUACUGGGCGUAAAGCGUGCGUAGACGGUUAUGUAAGUCGGGUGUGAAAGCCCCGGGCUCAACCUGGGAAUGCCAUUCGAGACUGCAUAGCUAGGGUGCGGAAGAGGGAAGCGGAAUUUCCGGUGUAGCGGUGAAAUGCGUAGAGAUUGGGAAGAACACCAGUGGCGAAGGCGGCUAUCUGGACGGUUUCUGACACUAAGACACGAAAGCGUGGGGAGCAAACAGG
rnacentral:rRNA from 1 species